AAGGUUUUAAGUUAUUAAAACUAAUAAUCUUCAAAAUUAUAAAUAAAGAAAAUCUUUAAGCCUUA
rnacentral:tRNA from 1 species